UUUCCGUAGGUGAACCUGCGGUAGGAUCAUUGUC
rnacentral:rRNA from 1 species